rnacentral:rRNA from 1 species
ACGUAGGGUGCGAGCGUUAAUCGGAAUUACUGGGCGUAAAGCGUGCGCAGGCGGCUCUAUAAGACAGAUGUGAAAUCCCCGGGCUUAACCUGGGAAUUGCAGGGGAAACCGCCGCUCUUGAGGCAGGUAGAGGUGACCGGAACGUGUGGUGGAGCGGUGAAAUGCGUAGAGAUGUGGAGGAACACCGAUGGCGAAGGCAGCCCCCUGGGUCGACACUGACGCUCAUGCACGAAAGCGUGGGGAGCAAACAG